rnacentral:rRNA from 1 species
CCUACGGGAGGCAGCAGUGAGGAAUAUUGGUCAAUGGACGAGAGUCUGAACCAGCCAAGUCGCGUGAAGGAUGACUGCCCUAUGGUUUGUAAACUUCUUUUGUGAAGGAAUAAAACGAGUCACGUGUGCCUUUUUGCAUGUACUUUAUGCAUAAGGAUCGGCUAACUCCGUGCCAGCAGCCGCGGUAAUACGGAGGAGCCGAGCGUUGUCCGGAUUUAUUGGGUGGAAAGGGAGCGUAGAUGGGUUGUUAAGUCAGUUGUGAAAGUUUGCGGCUCAACCGUAAAAUUGCAAUUGAUACUGGCAGGCUUGAGUAUAGUUGAGGUAGGCAGAAUUCGUGGUGUAGCGGUGAAAUGCUUAGAGAUCACGAAGAAUCCCGAUUGCGAAGGCAGCUUACUAAACUGUGACUGACAUUGAUGCGCGAAAGUGUGGGUAUCAAACAGGAUUAGAUACCCUUGUAGUC